GGCGAACGCUGGCGGCGUGCCUAAUACAUGCAAGUUGAGCGCUGAAGGUUGGUACUUGUACCGACUGGAUGAGCAGCGAACGGGUGAGUAACGCGUGGGGAAUCUGCCCUUGAGCGGAGGACAACACUUGGAAACGAAUGCUAAUACCGCAUAAACACCUUAAACACAAGUUUUAAGUUUGAAAGACGCAAUUGCAUCACUCACAGAUUAUCCCGCGUUGUAUUAGCUAGUUGGUGAGGUAAAGGCCCACCAAGGCGAUGAUACAUAGCCGACCUGAGAGGGUGAUCGGCCACAUUGGGACUGAGACACGGCCCAAACGCCUACGGGAGGCAGCAGUAGGGAAUCUUCGGCAAUGGACGAAAGUCUGACCGAGCAACGCCCCGUGAGUGAAGAAGGUUUUCGGAUCGUAAAACUCUGUUGGUAGAGAAGAACGUUGGUGAGAGUGGAAAGCUCAUCAAGUGACGGUAACUACCCAGAAAGGGACGGCUAACUACGUGCCAGCAGCCGCGGUAA
rnacentral:rRNA from 1 species